AGCUUCUUAGCGCAGUGGAAGCGCGCGGGGCUCAUAACCCCGAGGUCCUCGGAUCGAGACCGAGAGAAGCUA
rnacentral:tRNA from 3 species